GUCGUGAGAUGUUGGGUUAAGUCCCGCAACGAGCGCAACCCUCAUCUUCAGUUGCCAUCAGGUUAAGCUGGGCACUCUGGAGAAACUGCCGGUGACAAGCCGGAGGAAGGCGGGGAUGACGUCAAGUCCUCAUGGCCCUUACGGGCUGGGCUACACACGUGCUACAAUGGCGGUGACAGCGGGCGGCGAAGGUGCGAGCCUGAGCCAAUCCCGAAAAGCCGUCUCAGUUCGGAUUGCACUCUGCAACUCGAGUGCAUGAAGUUGGAAUCGCUAGUAAUCGCGGAUCAGCAUGCCGCGGUGAAUACGUUCCCGGGCCUUGUACACACCGCCCGUCACGCCAUGGGAGUUGGUUUUACCCGAAGGCGGUUUUGCUGACCCAGCAAUGGGGGGCAGCCGACCACGGUAAGGUCAGCGACUGGGGCGAAGUCGUAACAAGGUAGCCGUAGGGGAACCUGCGGCUGGAUCACCUCCUUUCUGGGUCUGGAGGAAGAGCCGGCACCCGCCAGGGUGCAGGCAGACUUUCUCCGGGUACCAUCACACUAUGCCGAAGGUGGCCUGAGGCCGCCGUCCCCGCAUCCCUUCUCCCACGGAAAAUGAGCGACGAGAUCGGGUUAGUAGCUCAGUUGGUUAGAGCGCGCGCUUGAUAAGCGUGAGGUCGGAAGUUCAAGUCUUCCCUGGCCCACCAGGUGUCGGAGGACGCAGAACAGAGGACAGACGACGGACCCAUGUGGAUCAGGCGAAGACGCGGGAAGCGGCAAUGAGUUCCGCCCUCUGUCGUCUGUCUGCUGUCGUCUGAUCCCGGGGCCGUAGCUCAGCUGGGAGAGCGCCUGCUUUGCAAGCAGGGGGUCACCGGUUCGAUCCCGGUCGGCUCCACCAGAGCCGACCAGACUUCUCAAGAAGGCGGCUCCACCAGGAGCAGGCAUCGGGGAUCGGGCAUCAGGUAUCAGGGCUUCCGUGGGAUGAAGAUAGAAAUUGGACGCGAUUGGGCCGGGGUCUUCUGAUCCCUGAUGCCUGAUCCCGGUCCUCUGGUUUUGUUGCUUUACAUUGUGGAUAGAAAUGCGACUGGCCGUUGGCGGUGGUUGACUUGUGUUGUGCGCUCGAUCGGGAGAUGGGGCGCUGGACGAGGAACCGGAUUGUCAUCGGCCAGGCGGGUAAAACUAAGAUGAAGUGCUGAGUGUUAAGUCGAGGCUUUUGGGUCGUGGAUGGAGGCUUUGCUCUCUGUGUGCGAUGGAAGGGCUUCGGAUCAAGCGUUUAAGGGCAUUUGGUGGAUGCCUUGGCACUGAGAGGCGAUGAAGGACGUGGCACGCUGCGAAAAGCCGCGGGGAGGGGCGAGCACCCUUUGAUCCGCGGAUCU
rnacentral:sRNA from 1 species